rnacentral:rRNA from 1 species
UACGAAGGGGGCUAGCGUUGUUCGGAAUUACUGGGCGUAAAGCGCGCGCAGGCGGCUAUCCAAGUCAGUGGUGAAAGCCCGGAGCUCAACUCCGGAACUGCCAUUGAAACUGUUUAGCUUGAGGAUGAGAGAGAUGAGUGGAAUUCCCAGUGUAGAGGUGAAAUUCGUAGAUAUUGGGAAGAACACCGGUGGCGAAGGCGGCUCACUGGCUCAUUACUGACGCUCAGGCGCGAUAGCGUGGGGAUCAAACAGG